GACAGAGGAUGGCAAGCGUUAUCCGGAAUGAUUGGGUGCGUAAAAGGCGUCUGUAGGUGGCUUUUCAAGUCCGCCGUCAAAUCCCAGGGCUACAACCCUGGACAGGCGGUGGAAACUACCGAAGGCUGGAGUGACGGUAGGGGGCAGAGGGAAUUUCCGGUGGAGCGGUGGAAAUACAUUGGAGGAUCGGAAAGAACGACCAACGGCGAAAGCACU
rnacentral:rRNA from 1 species